rnacentral:rRNA from 1 species
AGUCGACGAUGAAUCUUCUAGCUUGCUAGAAGUGGAUUAGUGGCGCACGGGUGUAGUAAUGCAUAGGUUAUGUGCCCUUUAGUCUGGGAUAGCCACUGGAAACGGUGAUUAAUACUGGAUACUCCCUACGGGGGAAAGUUUUUCGCUAAAGGAUCAGCCUAUGUCCUAUCAGCUUGUUGGUGAGGUAAUGGCUCACCAAGGCUAUGACGGGUAUCCGGCCUGAGAGGGUGAUCGGACACACUGGAACUGAGACACGGUCCAGACUCCUACGGGAGGCAGCAGUAGGGAAUAUUGCUCAAUGGGGGAAACCCUGAAGCAGCAACGCCGCGUGGAGGAUGAAGGUUUUAGGAUUGUAAACUCCUUUUGUUAGAGAAGAUUAUGACGGUAUCUAACGAAUAAGCACCGGCUAACUCCGUGCCAGCAGCCGCGGUAAUACGGAGGGUGCAAGCGUUACUCGGAAUCACUGGGCGUAAAGAGUGCGUAGGCGGGGUAAUAAGUCAGAUGUGAAAUCCUGUAGCUUAACUACAGAACUGCAUUUGAAACUGUUACUCUGGAGUGUGGGAGAGGUAGGUGGAAUUCUUGGUGUAGGGGUAAAAUCCGUAGAGAUCAAGAGGAAUACUCAUUGCGAAGGCGACCUGCUGGAACAUUACUGACGCUGAUGCACGAAAGCGUGGGGAGCAAACAGGAUUAGAUACCCUGGUAGUCCACGCCCUAAACGAUGGAUGCUAGUUGUUGCCUUGCUUGUCAGGGCAGUAAUGCAGCUAACGCAUUAAGCAUCCCGCCUGGGGAGUACGGUCGCAAGAUUAAAACUCAAAGGAAUAGACGGGGACCCGCACAAGCGGUGGAGCAUGUGGUUUAAUUCGAAGAUACGCGAAGAACCUUACCUAGGCUUGACAUUG